rnacentral:rRNA from 1 species
UACGAAGGGGGCUAGCGUUGUUCGGAAUUACUGGGCGUAAGGGCGCGUAGGCGGUGUGUCAAGUCAGGCGUGAAAGCCCCGGGCUCAACCUGGGAACCGCGCUUGAGACUGGCACGCUCGAGUUCGGGAGAGGAUGGUGGAAUUCCCAGUGUAGAGGUGAAAUUCGUAGAUAUUGGGAAGAACACCCGUGGCGAAGGCGGCUCUCUGGGACGGUACUGACGCUGAGACGCGAAAGCGUGGGGAGCGAACAGG